AAUUGCAUUUCAUGGACACCCUAACAAAAGAUUAGAUAUAUCACAUGACUACAGGAAGAGAGAGAUCUACACCAAUGCUUCCCAUCAAAGGAAGAAUUUACAAUUACAACUAUAAAUAAAAACCCAUUAAGAUAAACACCAUUUUUCAUUUAGCUAUUCACUUUUCUUUAUUCACUAUCCGAUGAAUUUCCUCUUGCUUUUCAGCUACCCCCACCAGGGUACAGACAACCAUUGUAACUGGGAUUUUUUGAUGUGAGUGCAGCCGUCUGCGAGAAAUCGCAAUUCCAUGAAUUCUUGCCUGAAUUUUGGUAGUAUAAAUUCAUGGCAUAAGCAGCAUGUGAAACUACAGUAUUUGGAUCAAAACAUGCUCCUCCUGGUUGAAUUGGGCUGCAAUCUAUGCCUUGACCACAGGCAUAGUCGAGACUUGCCUGUAAUUGAGCAUCAGAAACACCAGACUUGGGCAUACACCAGACUGCUCCUGUUGGUUUUGCU
rnacentral:misc_RNA from 1 species